UGUGCGUCGCGUAGCCAAGGAUGACUUGCCUGCAGCUCUCGGAUCGGAGAACGACAAGUCUGAAGAUGGAGAGAGAGCCGGCAAGUCAUCUGUGACUACGCGUUUGCCCCCU
rnacentral:pre_miRNA from 1 species